rnacentral:rRNA from 1 species
UACGUAGGGGGCAAGCGUUGUCCGGAAUUAUUGGGCGUAAAGCGCGCGCAGGCGGCUUUCUAAGUUAGGUGUGAAAGCCCACGGCUCAACCGUGGAGGGCCACCUAAAACUGGGAGACUUGAGUGCAGGAGAGGAGAGCGGAAGUCCACGUGUAGCGGUGAAAUGCGUAGAGAUGUGGAGGAACACCCGUGGCGAAGGCGGCUCUCUGGACUGUAACUGACGCUGAGGCGCGAAAGCGUGGGGAGCAAACAGG